AUUGCCUUUUUUGCUUCUGGAUGCAAACCAAAGGAAAUGUGGAGGAUAGGUACAGAAAACGAGAAAUUGGGUUUCGAGGUGAAGACUUUGUGCCCUAUGAAAUAUGAACAAGUAGCUGCUUUGCUUAGUGGCAUUGCUGAGAGAUUUGAGUGGGAUAAGGUUAUGGAGAAUGACAAAAUUAUUGGCUUAAAA